UACGUAGGGUGCGAGCGUUAAUCGGAAUUACUGGGCGUAAAGCGUGCGCAGGCGGUUGUGCAAGACAGAUGUGAAAUCCCCGGGCUUAACCUGGGAACUGCAUUUGUGACUGCAUGACUGGAGUGUGGCAGAGGGGGAUGGAAUUCCGCGUGUAGCAGUGAAAUGCGUAGAUAUGCGGAGGAACACCGAUGGCGAAGGCAAUCCCCUGGGCCUGCACUGACGCUCAUGCACGAAAGCGUGGGGAGCAAACAGG
rnacentral:rRNA from 1 species